UGGUGGAGUGAUUUGUCUGGUUAAUUCCGAUAACGAACGAGACUCUGUCCUGCUAACUAGGUUGUGUUUUCUCGGGUUGGUGUUUCUGGUGUUCCUUCUCGGGGCGCCGGCCCAAUCCACUUGUGAACAUAACACUCUUCUUAGAGGGACUGGCGGCUGUUAGCCGCACGAGAUAGAGCAAUAACA
rnacentral:rRNA from 1 species